AUGGAAUGUGAGGAGGAGGAGCUGGAACCGUGGCAGAAAAUCAGUGAUGUGAUUGAAGACUCUGUUGUUGAGGAUUAUAAUUCAGUUGAUAAAACAGCUUCGGCUGGCAAUCCUCUGGUUCAGCAAAGUGGACAGCCGCUAAUCCUCACCCAGAACCCCACCUCGGGUCUGGGCACCAUGGUCACUCAGCCAGUGCUGCGACCCGUCCAGAUCAUGCAGAACGCCAACCACGUCACGAAUUCUCCGGUGACCAGCCAGCCCAUCUUCAUAACAACCCAGGGAUUUCCCGUGAGGAACGUGCGGCCUGUACAAAACACAAUGAACCCGGUUGGGAUUGUUCUGAACGUACAGCAGGGUCAAACCGUUAGACCCAUCACCCUCGUCCCAG